rnacentral:rRNA from 1 species
CCUACGGGAGGCAGCAGUGAGGAAUAUUGGUCAAUGGACGAGAGUCUGAACCAGCCAUGUAGCGUGAAGGAUGACUGCUCUAUGGGUUGUAAACUUCUUUUAUAUGGGAAUAAAACGUUCCACGUGUGGGAUUUUGUAUGUACCAUAUGAAUAAGGAUCGGCUAACUCCGUGCCAGCAGCCGCGGUAAUACGGAGGAUCCGAGCGUUAUCCGGAUUUAUUGGGUUUAAAGGGUGCGUAGGUGGAUUGUUAAGUCAGUUGUGAAAGUUUGCGGCUCAACCGUAAAAUUGCAGUUGAAACUGGCAGUCUUGAGUACAGUAGAGGUAGGCGGAAUUCGUGGUGUAGCGGUGAAAUGCUUAGAUAUCACGAAGAACUCCGAUUGCGAAGGCAGUUCACUGGACUGCAACUGACACUGAGGCUCGAAAGUGUGGGUAUCAAACAGGAUUAGAUACCCCAGUAGUC